rnacentral:rRNA from 1 species
CACGUAGGGUGCGAGCGUUGUCCGGAAUUAUUGGGCGUAAAGAGCUCGUAGGCGGUGUGUCGCGUCGGCCGUGAAAACCUGCAGCUUAACUGUGGGCUUGCGGUCGAUACGGGCAUCACUGGAGUUCGGCAGGGGAGACUGGAAUUCCUGGUGUAGUGGUGAAAUGCGCAGAUAUCAGGAGGAACACCGGUGGCGAAGGCGGGUCUCUGGGCCGAUACUGACGCUGAGGUGCGAAAGCGUGGGGAGCAAACAGG